rnacentral:ncRNA from 1 species
CCUCAGGAUAAAACAAUUGUUUAUGAGAAAGAAAACUCGAAAGAUAAGAGGUUGCGACAAAUACUGACAAUAUUU